rnacentral:rRNA from 1 species
UGGGGGAUAUUGCACAAUGGGCGAAAGCCUGAUGCAGCGACGCCGCGUGGGGGAUGAAGGCCUUCGGGUUGUAAACUUCUUUUGCUCUGAACAAGGCGCACCAUGGGGUGUGUUGAGUGUAGGGGUUGAUUAGCGCCGGCUAACUACGUGCCAGCAGCCGCGGUAAUACGUCGGGCGCGAGCGUUGUCCGGAAUUAUUGGGCGUAAAGGGCUUGUAGGUGGCUGGUUGCGUCUGUCGUGAAAGCUCAUGGCUUAACUGUGGGGUUGCGGUGGGUACUGGCUGGCUUGAGUGCAGUAGGGGAGGCUGGAAUUCCUGGUGUAGCGGUGGAAUGCGCAGAUAUCAGGAGGAAUACCGGUGGCGAAGGCGGGUCUCUGGGCUGUUACUGACACUGAGGAGCGAAAGCAUGGGGAGCGAACAGG